rnacentral:rRNA from 1 species
AUGGCAUCAGAGUAUGGAUACCGGCUUAAGGUGAAUGAGAAGGUCGACGUCUACAGCUUCGGAGUGCUCCUGUUGGAGCUCACAACAGGGAGAGUGGCAAAUGAUGGAGGCUUGGAGUAUUGCUUGGCAGAAUGGGCAUGGAGACAGUAUCAAGAAUAUGGCCUGUCAAUUGAUCUUCUUGAUGAAGACAUUCGAGAUCCAGCCAACAUUGAAGAUGCAUUUGCAGUGUUUACGCUAGGUGUGAUCUGUACAGGCGGGCAGCCUUCAGUACGGCCAUCAAUGAAGGAUGUGUUGUACGCUCUUCUCCGGUUUGAACAUAAAUCAAGGGAAAGAAGCCUGCAGCAUGCUGUCUCCGAAGAAACAUCACUUCUAGAAUCCUAG